CACCAGGAAUCCCUGGGGGUCACAGUGUUGAGAGUGAACUCUAGCCCGUAGCUCCAGGGCUAGAGUUGACUCUCGCAAGAGCGGUAACGUUGCCAUGGUAACCGCGGCAACGCUCUGUGCUCGCACAAGAAGGACCCAGAGGAGCUGCAGGGUGAGCUCCCAGGUCCUCUCUUCCUCCCCUGCCCGCACGGUGCCUGCGGACAGGGGAGGGGGGGCAUUCUUCCCUCUCUGUCUCUUUCUCCCCCUCCCCAUCUCUCUAUUCCCCCUCUUUCUCCCCGUGUCUCAUUC